rnacentral:lncRNA from 1 species
AAAGCUCUAUGUCCUGAGUCCUCACGAUAGCCUGCCCUGUAUUCUAGGCUCUUACUUUUAUAUUUUGUCUUUAUCUUUUUUAUUUUUACUUAGCAGAGACUCUAGCACCCCAGACUCUGGUUAACAUCCUGGCAUAUUCACCCAUGUGCUUACUCAUUUAUGUCACAGCUUUCCUCGGGGAAGCUUUCUGUGACUUUAACUUGUACCCCUCCAAACUAUCAUUAUUCUUUUACUUUCUUAUAUACAUUUACUUCUUUGUUUAUUGAUGACCUUUUCACUAGCAUUUAAUCUCCAUGAUGAGAUUAGAUCUCCAGGAAUUCGUUGGUUUUAUUUCCUCAUAUCCCAGUAUCUGUGACAACUUAGCACAAAAUAGGUGAGCAUGAAAGAAGUGUGACUGAUGUGUCCAGAACAAGGCUACUGGAGGUGAUGCAUAAGUAAUCUUAAAGAUACUUACAGCACUCCCGUUCCAUGAUGGGAGCAGCAGGAGGUGAAGAUACAGAAGUAAAACACACGCACUCUGCCUUCAGGAACCCGGGGUCGUCUGCUGAGCAGGCAGCCAGCUAAGCAUUGUGGCUUUUCCCGAAAGGCACAGCCUUUCCGGGAGUGGAAGCUGCCAUUCCAGUGUCGAUGGUUCCCGUGCCACCUCCGCUACGCUGCCUCAUGCCAUCAUGACCCCGAGAAGAACUCUGCCAACCAGAUAAACUCCCUGAGAUUCCAGCGUACGUUCCCUUAGAGACACCAGAGUCCACAGAAUCGUGGAGGAACAGGGAGAGUUGGUGCCAGGAAUCUCCUGUAGUUCGUAAAGGUCCAUUGUUAAAAAAGCCAUCAGAGGAAUUGUGUCAACCACGGCUUACUCCAAAUCUACCUUCUCCUCGGGUGUGCUGUCUGAGUGCAUCCUUUGACCACCACCUUGUCACUGCAGUCCCAAGGGAGCUCCACAUCUCCACCUUUGCGCCUUCGGUGACUGACACUGGAUCUCCAGAGAUGCUCACACUUCUGGAUAAAACUGAAGGACCUUAGUUAGCAAAACAGACUCCAUAUUGCUGCUGGACGCACCACCUGCCUGCCCUUUAGAUGAGCUUAGAAGGAGGAAGCUUAGAAACCUCCUCCCCUUAGAAAGUCUCUUAGAAACAACAAUUAAUCAACUAUUGUUUUACAAAUGUUCUAACAGCAGGACGUUCCACUUCUGUACCUUUCGCUUGCUUUGCUAGUUCUAUCCCAUAGCGGGGCCUAGAAACUGUUGGCCUCAAAGGUGUAUAAAACAUAUGUUUGUCUCCCCCGAGUUGGGGCUCGAGUCCGAUGCUCAGCUCGGUCCCGGCCGGUAAUAAACUCCUGUGUGGAUAUAAUAUCGGUCUCUGGUUG